rnacentral:rRNA from 1 species
GAUGAACGCUGGCGGCGUGCCUAAUACAUGCAAGUCGAGCGAACAGACGCUGCUCUCGCUCUUCUCACGUUAGCGGCGGAUGGGUGAGUAACACGUGGAUAACCUUCCUCUAAGACUUGGAUCACUUCGGGAAACCGUAGCUCAUACCAGAUAAUAUAUUUAACCUCAUGGUUCAAUAGUGUAAGCCGUUUUUGCUGUGCUUUAUACCUGUAUCCGCGCUGCUUUAGUUAGUUGGUAGGGUAACGGCUUACCAUGGCAACGAUGCGUAGCCGAGCUGAGAGGGGGAAGGGCCACACUGGGACUGAGACACGGUCCAGAGUCCGACGGGAGGCAGAAGUAGGGAAUGGUGCGAAAUGGGCGAAAGCCUGAAGGAGCAACGCAGCGUGAGUGAUGAAGGUCUUCGGAUCGUAAAACUCUGUUAUUAGGGAAGAACAAAUGUGUAAGUAACUAUGCACGUCUUGACGGUACCUAAUCAGAAAGCCACGGCUAACUACGUG